rnacentral:rRNA from 1 species
UACAGAGGUCUCAAGCGUUGUUCGGAUUCAUUGGGCGUAAAGGGCGCGUAGGCGGCCGAUCAAGUCGGGGGUGAAAGCCUGUGGCUCAACCACAGAAUUGCCUUCGAUACUGUUUGGCUUGAGACCGGAAGAGGUAAGUGGAACUGCGAGUGUAGAGGUGAAAUUCGUAGAUAUUCGCAAGAACACCAGUGGCGAAGGCGGCUCACUGGCCCGGUACUGACGCUGAGGUGCGAAAGCCAGGGGAGCAAACGGG